GAUGAACGCUGGCGGCGUGCCUAAUACAUGCAAGUCGAGCGAACGGACGAGAAGCUUGCUUCUCUGAUGUUAGCGGCGGACGGGUGAGUAACACGUGGAUAACCUACCUAUAAUACUGGGAUAAAUUCGGGAAACCGGAGCUAAUACCGGAUAAUAUUAUGAACCGCAUGGUUCAAAAGUGAAAGACGGUCUUGCUGUCACUUAUCGAUGGAUCCGCGCUGCAUUAGCUAGUUGGUAAGGUAACGGCUUACCAAGGCAACGAUGCAUAGUCGACCUGAGAGGGUGAUCGGCCACACUAGAACUGAGACACGGUCCAGACUACUACGGGAGGGAGCAGUAGGGAAUCUGACGCAAUGGGCGAAAGCCUUACGGAGCAACGCCGCGUGAGUGAUGAAGGUCUUCGGAGCGUAAAACUGGGUUAUUAGGGAAGAACAUAUGUGUAAGUAACUGUGCACAUCGUGACGGUACCUAAUCAGAAAGCCACGGCUAACUACGUG
rnacentral:rRNA from 1 species